ACAUACUCCAGAGCCUAAUUCAUUAUAUUUUAAUAAAUAAAAUUACUACCAAAUCCGAAAAAAAUAAAAUUUACAAUUUUAAGUUUUUAAAUGUAACCCAUCUCUUCUUUUAAAAGCUGCACCUUGAUUUGAUCUAAAAUAAAAUUUUAUAAAAAGAAAAUUUAACUUCUUAAGAAAUAUUCAUUACAACAACGAUAUACAAACAAUUAUAAAAGUAAAGUAAAUUGUGAAUUAUCAAUUACAGGACAGGUUCCUCUGGUAGGUUAAAGUACCGCCAAGACAUUUAAUUUUCAAGAACUUAACUAGUACUAAUCCGGUUUACACGUCAACAAUUUGAAUAACAGGGUAUCUAAUCCUGGUUUCUAAACAAAACUUUUUUAGAUCAUUUAAUUAUAAAAAUCAACUUUUAUAUUAAAAUUUCACCUCUCAAUAUAAAUCUUUAAAAUAUUAAAAUAAUUAACUAACAACCAUUAAAAUUAAGUAACUCUUUUUGUAUAACCGCA
rnacentral:rRNA from 1 species